CAGUGGUGUGACUGGUUCUCUGUCACUUGAGUCCCCUUUGUGGACAGAGAGGAGGUAACGUGGAAGAUGCUGGCGUGUCCAAACCUCAAGAAGCCUAGAGUGACGGCAUUCUAGAAAUAUGAUGGUCGUGUGGAGCGAUGGUCUAAAUGGUUGCCUGGCGACGAGUGUCACUGAUAAACGGGAUAAAGACUGACCACGAGCUGAACAAACAAAGCCACCUGGAUAGUUUGUUUGCCUUGAUAAAUAUAGGGAUUAUCAAUAAUAAAAGUCAUUUUGAGAAGACUAAAAAGAAACUAAUGAGCAAUUUUCACAAGAAUGGAGGCUAUCAAAGUUUACGCCCAUGGAGAAGAAAAUGCCACAGCUGUAUCCUGUAUCCACUGCAGAGGAAAAUGGACAUCCGAAAUUCGUUGAGGAUGAACGGUACACCUGUCAGUCGGUGACAACAGAGACACUCCCUCAGACAGAAAUACAAUGCAGUUGAAGAGAAUCAGACAGAAAGCACGGACCUGCCUCAACAUAAGAGAUCUUAAGAAUGUGAACAAUUAGCCUUGACAUCAUCACAAUAUGCACUCUUUCUCGUAGAAUCCCGGAUGAUCAGAUGAGAGUUAACUGACUCAAAGUACCAACAGGUAUUUCGAACCCGACGAAAGAAUUCUGUGCACCAGCAGCAAGGGCAGAGACAAGGAGGCUUGGUUCUCAUAAUCUUCAGGGUAAUUACAAUUUUCAGAACUAGGUACACGUUCUAGGAAUUGUUCUGUAGUAAGGCGAACAACUUUUGCAGGGCUGAUAUUUUCCACUUUCCACGUUUUUAUUAUUUUUUUAUGAAACCCCAAAUAAUUGUGCAAGAUACAUGUAACUGCGAGAUUCAAUUAGUGCCUUGCAGUAAAGUGGAAACAAUCAAGCUUGAAGAUGUUACACCAUUUAUGUAACCAGUACAGGUGCUCCAUUAUGUUGUAAACUUUGGAGGUACUCUAGGGCAGUGGUUCAGGGGAUAGGGUGGGUGGGGCAG